rnacentral:rRNA from 1 species
GAACGCUGGCGGCGUGCUUAACACAUGCAAGUCGAACGCUCCUGGAGGUUGGAAGUUAGAGGUUAGAAGUUAGAUUAAGAAGGAAUUCGCCGAAGGCGAAUUCUCACACAAUCUAACAUCUAAUUUCCAACUUCCAACCUCUAAGGGGAGUGGCGGACGGGUGAGUAACGCGUGGGCAAUCUGCCCGUAAGAGGGGGAUAACAUCGGGAAACCGGGGCUAAUACCGCAUAAUAUCUGUUUACCGCAUGGUAGACAGAUUAAAGGAGCAAUCCGCUUACGGAUGAGCCCGCGUCUGAUUAGCUAGUUGGUAGGGUAACGGCCUACCAAGGCGACGAUCAGUAGCCGGCCUGAGAGGGUGACCGGCCACACUGGAACUGAGACACGGUCCAGACUCCUACGGGAGGCAGCAGUGGGGAAUCUUCCGCAAUGGGCGAAAGCCUGACGGAGCACGCCGCGUGAGCGAAGAAGGCCUUCGGGUUGUAAAGCUCUGUCAUCAGGGAAGAAGAGAGUGACGGUACCUGAGGAGGAAGCCACGGCUAACUACGUGCCAGCAGCCGCGGUAAUACGUAGGUGCAGCGUUGUCCGGAAUUACUGGGCGUAAAGAGCGCGUAGGCGGGCGCUUAAGUCAGGUGUGAAAACUGGCAGCUCAACUGCCAGCCUGCCUUUGAGACUGGGCGUCUUGAGGACAGGAGAGGAGAGCGGAAUUCCUAGUGUAGCGGUGAAAUGCGUAGAUAUUAGGAGGAACACCAGUGGCGAAGGCGGCUCUCUGGCCUGUAACUGACGCUGAGGCGCGAAAGCGUGGGGAGCGAACGGGAUUAGAUACCCCGGUAGUCCACGCCGUAAACGAUGGGUGCUAGGUGUAGGAGGUAUCGACCCCUUCUGUGCCGUAGUUAACACAAUAAGUACCCCGCCUGGGGAGUACGGCCGCAAGGUUGAAACUCAAAGGAAUUGACGGGGGCCCGCACAAGCGGUGGAGCAUGUGGUUUAAUUCGACGCAACGCGAAGAACCUUACCAGGGCUUGACAUCGAGGGAAGGCUUGUGGAAACAUGAGUCGUCACAAGCUUGCUUGUGACCCGAAGACAGGUGGUGCAUGGUUGUCGUCAGCUCGUGUCGUGAGAUGUUGGGUUAAGUCCCGCAACGAGCGCAACCCUUAUCUUUAGUUGCCAGCACGUGGAGGUGGGCACUCUAGAGAGACUGCCGGUGACAAACCGGAGGAAGGUGGGGAUGACGUCAAAUCAUCAUGCCCCUUAUGUCCUGGGCUACACACGCGCUACAAUGGCCGGUACAAAGGGGAGCGAUGGGGUGACCCGGAGCAAAUCCCAGCAAAGCCGGUCUCAGUUCGGAUUGUAGUCUGCAACUCGACUACAUGAAGUCGGAAUCGCUAGUAAUCGCAGGUCAGCAUACUGCGGUGAAUACGUUCCCGGGCCUUGUACACACCGCCCGUCACACCACGAAAGCCUGCAACACCCGAAGCCGGUGAGCUAACCCGCAAGGGAGGCAGCCGUCGAAGGUGGGGCCGGUGAUUGGGGUG